AUUGAACGCUGGAGGCGUGCUUAACACAUGCAAGUCGUGCGAGAAAGGGACUUCGGUCCUGAGUAGAGCGGCGCACGGGUGAGUAACGCGUGGGUGAUCUCCCUUGGUGAUCGGGAUAACAGCGGGAAACUGCUGCUAAUACCGGAUAAUCUUCAUGUUUAACUUCAUGGGGUAAAGGUGGCCUCUGCUUGCAAGCUACCACACCGAGAUGAGCCCGCGUCUCAUUAGCUAGUUGGUAGGGUAAUGGCCUACCAAGGCUACGAUGAGUAGCUGGUCUGAGAGGAUGACCAGCCACACUGGGACUGGAACACGGCCCAGACUCCUACGGGAGGCAG
rnacentral:rRNA from 1 species